ACACCCUGGCCAGCCGAGACUGUGAGGUCAAUACUUAAAAAGAGCACAUUCUUUUUCUGUAGUACCUGCUGUGCAACUGCCUUUAAGUUUGUUCCUCGAAGAACAUGCAAUGGCAUCCCAGAAAGCCAACUGUAUCCUGAGCUGCAUCCCCACAGCGUGGCCAGGAAGUUGAGGGAGAUGAUUCUGCCCCUCUGCUCUGAGAGGCAUUCACAUUCCCCCACAGUGGUGUAGAGAACUGCUGACUUCAAGAUAGAGAAAAUUAAGGUGGAAGGAGUUAGAGGGGUGACCCUGGAGAUCCUGGAAUACCAUUUUUAUGUCACGUCAACAAAAAUUAGGAUGAAUUCAGAGAGAUCACAGGCAAUUACAGCAUGGUGACCUAAUUCUGGGAAACAUCAAAGAACAGGAGAACAAUAGAGAAUUGAUCACUUACAAUUCUUUAUUGAUCCUAUGUUUUGUCAACACUAACCAUCUCUUCCCAACGAAAACAAUAAUCACCAAUCCUGCAUUGUAGGAGGCCUGGAUGAAGUUGGGAAUAUGAAUGAGUGGUAGAAGGAAGCACCAAUAAAGCAAAUAACUGAAUAAACUUAAA